AUGUUUGAGUUGGUCAGAUGGAUCAUAAAUGCCAUCAACAAAUGUUUUAUCAGCGAGAUACUAGAUGCAUGGGAGUUGACUACAUAUGUUGUGGCUAAGAUCGAUAGAAGAGAGAAGAAGUUCGAAGUGCGCUGUGAGCUGAAGGAAGGUUCUCUGUACAGGAUCAGUUGCUCUUGUCGUAAGCUGGAGUGCUUGGGAACACCAUGCUCUCACAUAUUCUACAUCUUGGGAAUACGUCAAGUGGAACUGCUGCCUAGGUGUUGUGUUCCCAUGAGGUGGACGAAGAGUGCAAAGUCUGCAUUCCCUCCGACCAGAAAGAGCGAGAUGUAUGACUAUUCGGAAAGCCUUGUGAGGUACCGUGAGUUGCAGAAUUUGAGUCACGCGGCAUGUUUCCGGGCAUGUCAAUCCAGUGAGGAGUAUCAACAUCUCAAGAUGGUUCUGAAUGGACAAGAUGGCAGCAAGGAAUGA
rnacentral:rRNA from 1 species